AUUUACUAUCUGGCCUUCUAAGAAAAAAAAUCACCAUAUUCUUAGUACCCAGCACAGUGUGCAACCCAUGCAACGCCUCAAAGAGUUUGCAAGACAAAAUUCCAGUUCAACUUUCUCAAUGUGUGCGUGCCUGCCCUCAUGUGGCCAUCUCACGAAAUCACAGAUACGCUGCCCUGAGACCUUAAGAAAGUCAGGAGGGAUCAGGUCAUCUAAUUUUGUUCCCACACAUUUGUUGAGCACCAAGUCCUGGUAUUUUGACACUGGAUUUUUUGGGGCUUCCGUUUCCUCUUUAAAUAAAUAGGGUAUAAUGUUACUUUAUGGAGUAGUGAGGAUAAAAUAAAAUCGUGGGUUAUGAAAGUGCUGAGUACACUGCAGUGGGUGAACAGGCUAAAGACGUGCGCAGAGCACAUGCCCUGCAAAUGGCAGCUACUCCCAUCUCUUAUUCAUCCCCACCACUCCAUGUUUACUUUCAUGAGGAAGAGUGUGAAAGUGUCCCCAUAUGUGUGUAAGGAUGAGCACUGGGACAAUUUUGGUACCUCUCUUUGUAAACCCAGGUCAGGUACCACCAUGUUGCCCCCCUAACAUGGACCCCCCCCUCUGCUUGGUGACCAUGCCAGCCCACUCUGCCCCACCAGUGAGAACAGGCUCCGGUGGGGCACACUCCCUUCCCUGCUUCUUCAUCUAGUGUCCAAGGCCACGUGUCCAUUUCCUCAGAAGCAGCAGGAAGGACUCGGCCUGAACUGCUGCAAUUGUGGGGAGCCUGGGCCACCACUCUUUCCUACCUGAUAAGCUGAAGUUGGACUGGUGGAGGUUUCUGAUGGGUGGGGGCUGGUGUUUAGAAGGCGAAGAUUUGGCUGAAGGAGCGGGAGUUGCAUAUUUGGGUGUAGCUGGUACCUCGUACACAGGACCGUCAUACAUGCCCCUGGAAACCCCUUGCAAUCCAAAAACCUAAACAGAGGAAGGGAGAGUGUGAUUGAUCGACACUGUGCAUGUGUGCCCUUCUGGGCAGAUAAAGCAGAGCCCUGCGGGCGAGAGAGAAACCUGAGGUCACUUCAAAUGUGCAUGCACACACACACAACACGCACACACAUGACAGAUGCACUUCACACACAUGCACCCGCACACAGGCAUUCAUACACACAAGCAUGCAUACACACACAUCUACAUACCCACAUGCAUACACAUACAGACGCACACACCACGCACACGCACUCACAUACAUGCAGUCAUGCACACAUAUAUGCAUGCAGUCAUGCACACACAUAUGCAUGCACAUGCAGUAACAAAACAUGCCUACACAGUAGCAUACACGCGUGAACACGCACACACACUUAAAACACAUACAGAUCUUCACAAAGGCAUACUCUCACAUAUGUAUACACAUGCAUACAUGCCCACACACACACUGAUACAGGUAUACACACCCGUAUAUACACUUACACACAUGCAUACUCAUACACAUACACACAAAGCUUCAUGCAGGAGGACCCCAAAUCCCUUGCAAGAAGAAGUCACUUUCCCUGACACUACCACCUACCCACCCCCGGAAAGGACCCCUGAGUCCCAGACAGGCAGCAGCAACGGGCCCAUCUUCAUGUAUGUUCUUGUAGAAGUCAACAGCGAGGCAAAGAUUCAGGGGGCAGAUAGUUUGUUGGGAGAUGGUUCCAGAAAGGGGGAAGGAGUGGGGAGCUGAGACAGGGAGGGAGAAAACUCAGUACAGAGGAACAAGGAGUGGGCCAGGUCUAUGGGGGGCAGGGCUGGGGAUGCUGUGGGGAGGACACCUCCACACCAGCCUGCAGGAGGAUGGGGAAGGAGGGCAAUGGAGCCACAGCCCCAGCCCCAUUGGGAAAGGGUUGUGGGGGCAGAGACCCUGAAAGCAGCAGGGCUUCCAGGCAGGAGGCUGUCAGCCUGCUGGGAACUGCUGACAGCAGCCCAGGUGACCUCAGGGAUGGCCAAGGUUGGGAGGGCACCUGCUCCAGGCACUGGAGAACAGCAUGUGUUCAGGGACCUGUACAGGGUCCCAGCAUGAGUCAGUGGCAGUGCCCUAACCCAACACGGGGCUUCAUCCUCCAUAGCAGGUGACAGUGCCCUGACCCCAGGCCCGGCUCCCUUCUUUUCUGCAGGUGAUAGCACCCUGACCCCCAGCUCUGGGCUCCUGUCUCUCCAUAGGAGGAAGCCUUAAUUUUAGCACCAAGUUUAAAGACCCAGCACCUGCAUAUCAUGUCGACGGCCCUCCCCUCUGUCCCUGGAGCCCUGCUCCCCGACUCCCUGGGCCUCACUGUAUCCUGUCCAUUCUCUGUGGCUGUGGCAUUGCUUCCUGGGUGAGGCCGUUCAUCACUCCCUGAAGCUCAGGUGGCCAGAGGCAGGCUCUGAUGCAGGUCUCUCCUUCACCUGGUCUAGCUCCUGCAGGCAUGAAGGAAUCCCUGUGCAAUGGGACCCCCCGAUCCUAUUGCUCCUGCAAAUUGCUGUCUUGGCAUUUGGGGUCAGAUAUCUGCCCUCACGGAAGCUGACUGUUAACUGCAGGCCUCAGCUUCAGACCAAGAAGGAAAUGAAGCCAGCCAAGGGGUGUUUCUGCCUCUUCAGUGGGUGUCCUAGCCAGGGAUUUCCAUGAGUCCCCUGUCCUUACAUGGCCUGCUGCCUGUGCCUGGCCUUGUCUCGGAUCUGACUUGUUUCCACCCCAUCCCUUGUUUCCCCAUCCAGUGCAAAGCAUCUGUGCGACUUGGGGUCUUUGACCUGGUGCUACACCUUAUGGAAGCUGGGGAGGGACCAAAACCAGAUGCAGAGCCUCCCAGUCGGGGCUGGAGCCUGGGAAUGCAGGAAGGUCUCUGGACUUUUCCAUCUCAAUUGGCCACUUAGGAAGCAUACAAAGAACAGGACCACACAGGUACACACAUGCCCACACACACAGCUCACCACAUGCUCGCAUACACACAUGCGCACACACACACACUCCAACACACGCACACACAUCCCCAUAUGCACACAUACACACGUGCAUGCAUAUACACAUGCACACAUGACACACAGACAUACACACACACGUGCGCGUGCACACACACACACACACACGAAGCUGGCCUUUCUGGCAAACAUCAGCUGUCUCAUGGGGAAAGCAGCUGCCAUGGGGAUGGGAGGGCCUGGCUGGGGAAGAUGUUGGCCACGGGCGGGAGUCUCUCUCAGCUGUGAGAAAGUUCCCUCCUCUGAGUUGCUCUAAAGUUAGGAAUAGAGCCUGCUCCUUCCCUUUGACAGGUGUCCUGAGGUCAGUGCUAAGGUUGUUCAAGGAAAGUAAGGAACGACAGGGCAGAAACGUCAAGGGAGGAAGGAAAGGAAGAAAGGGCGGAUCUGAAGGGAGCCCUGCCUGCAAGAUGCCAGGGGUAACACCUUCCUCCACAGGGCCAGACCCGAGGGUUUCUGGGCCGUGACUCUGGCUAAGCCCUUCACGGCUCUGGGCUGCAAAAGGAGGAUCACAGCACCUCCAGUGGGUGGGCAGGAUUACUUAAGAUGACGCAGGACAGCGCCCAGAGCAGCUUGGUGCUCCGGGAACGCCUUCCGCGGAAUGAAGCGGCCCAUGCCCUUGUUGACAUUGAUGUUUCCGUCUUCAAAGACGAUCUUGCCCUGGCUGAUGACCACUAGUGGGGAGCCGUGGCACUCCAUACCCUCGAAGAUGUUGUACUCCACUGCCUGCACCAACAGCCUCAGCGUUACUUCCCAGGAUUUUCUCUGCUCCAAACGAGCUGUUCAUAACAGCGAUUUUGCCUAACAUUAUAUCAUAAGCGUGUUCCAAUGUUUUUUUUCUCUCUAAAAAUACCUUUUAUUGACUGUGUAAUAUUCCACUGUAUGGUCCACAGUGUAUAUAACCAACAACUCACCGUUGCGCAUGUAGGCUGCUGGUGGCUUUCUAUAAUCACAUCAAUAUUGUUCUGGGAGGAAGGGGGUCCCCCUGGGGUUAUGCAAUGUGGCUGCUUUGACUAUACUGGACAUAAAAAUAAGUAAAAUGUUCUUUAUUUUACUUAAAAUGUCUCUUUAAAUAAAAU
rnacentral:lncRNA from 1 species